UGGGCUCGGGCUGUGCUCGGAGCGGCUCGGACCGCUCACACCCGUUCCACGCGGGCUCGUGCUGGGCUCGUGAGUCCACGCGCGCCCCGCGGAGGGGGUGGGGGAGCCUGCACCGCCAUGGGGGGCCAGGACACGUGAGCGGCCUGUCCGGCUCCCUUAGAGGCAGCGCACUUCCGCUGGGUCUUGAGGUCACAGGGGUGAGGUGACCAUCCGGCGAGAAUGUCCGCAGAAAGGGGUCAGAGAUGAGGCAGCAGAGAAGUGAUUGUAUCGAGGCUGGAUUAAAACUCGGGUCUUCGGGACUCCAGGCCUGGCACUCUGGGCCCCAUGGUGCCCCCAGCGGCCCUCCCCUCAUCUUUCCCUGAGCAAUGGUGGAGGGUGCUAACCCUCACACCACCUGCAGCAGAGUUUCCAGCAAGCCAGCCCCACCCCGCGAGUCACUCUCACACACCCUCUGGUAAGGAUGAAAUCUUAACCGUGACAGAAACCCCUGGACGAACUCUGGAGGAGAGAGAACCCUUUGGAGAAGGGGGUUUAGGAAUGUUUCUCUUCUCCCAUGGCACCUUUGAAAACCAAGCUUUUUAGAGGCAGGAAGCCCAGCUGGCCACCUCGGGCACCCCGCAGUGUGGCUGGUGCUGUCACAAGGUCCAAAGGGGGUGGCGGUUGGCGUGGUUACUGUUAAUGAAAAUAAAUUCUUUACAAACAA